rnacentral:miRNA from 1 species
UGUGUGUCUAUAUAAUAUGUGUGUGUAUAUCAUAGAAUAUACACACACACAUAUAUAAUUCUAUGAUAUACACACACAUAUUAUAUAGACACACA